AUUGAACGCUGGCGGCAUGCCUUACACAUGCAAGUCGAACGGCAGCACGGGUGCUUGCACCUGGUGGCGAGUGGCGAACGGGUGAGUAAUACAUCGGAACAUGUCCUAGUGGGGGAUAGCCCGGCGAAAGCCGGAUUAAUACCGCAUACGAUCUACGGAUGAAAGCGGGGGACCUUCGGGCCUCGCGCUAUAGGGUUGGCCGAUGGCUGAUUAGCUAGUUGGUGGGGUAAAGGCCUACCAAGGCGACGAUCAGUAGCUGGUCUGAGAGGACGACCAGCCACACUGGGACUGAGACACGGCCCAGACUCCUACGGGAGGCAGCAGUGGGGAAUUUUGGACAAUGGGCGAAAGCCUGAUCCAGCAAUGCCGCGUGUGUGAAGAAGGCCUUCGGGUUGUAAAGCACUUUUGUCCGGAAAGAAAUCCUUGGCCCUAAUACGGUCGGGGGAUGACGGUACCGGAAGAAUAAGCACCGGCUAACUACGUG
rnacentral:rRNA from 1 species